UCGAAUGGCCCCUGUGCCUUCAACCCUUCAAAACCUGUGGAAGCGACUCGUGCUUCGGUGCUCAGGCACCGCUUUUAUGCAGAAGUCUGUCUCGACGUCUGAAUUGAAAAUGGAAAUGAA
rnacentral:misc_RNA from 1 species